rnacentral:rRNA from 1 species
GGAUCCAUCGGAGAGCUUGCUCAGAGAUGGUGAGAGUGGCGCACGGGUGCGUAACGCGUGAGCAACCUACCUCUAUCAGGGGGAUAGCCUCUCGAAAGAGAGAUUAACACCGCAUAAUAUAACUAUUCGGCAUCGUCUGGUUAUUAAAUAUUUAUAGGAUAGAGAUGGGCUCGCGUGACAUUAGCUAGUUGGUAAGGUAACGGCUUACCAAGGCGACGAUGUCUAGGGGCUCUGAGAGGAGAAUCCCCCACACUGGUACUGAGACACGGACCAGACUCCUACGGGAGGCAGCAGUAAGGAAUAUUGGUCAAUGGGCGGAAGCCUGAACCAGCCAUGCCGCGUGCAGGAUGACUGCCCUAUGGGUUGUAAACUGCUUUUGUCCGGGAAUAAACCCAGGUACGUGUACCUGGCUGAAUGUACCGGAAGAAUAAGGAUCGGCUAACUCCGUGCCAGCAGCCGCGGUAAUACGGAGGAUCCGAGCGUUAUCCGGAUUUAUUGGGUUUAAAGGGUGCGUAGGCGGCCCAUUAAGUCAGGGGUGAAAUACGGUGGCUCAACCAUCGCAGUGCCUUUGAUACUGAUGGGCUUGAAUCCAUUUGAAGUGGGCGGAAUAAGACAAGUAGCGGUGAAAUGCAUAGAUAUGUCUUAGAACUCCGAUUGCGAAGGCAGCUCACUAAGCUGGUAUUGACGCUGAUGCACGAAAGCGUGGGGAUCGAACAGGAUUAGAUACCCUGGUAGUCCACGCCCUAAACGAUGAUAACUCGAUGUUGGCGAUAGACCGCCAGCGUCCCAGCGAAAGCGUUAAGUUAUCCACCUGGGGAGUACGCCCGCAAGGGUGAAACUCAAAGGAAUUGACGGGGGCCCGCACAAGCGGAGGAGCAUGUGGUUUAUUUCGAUGAUACGCGAGGAACCUUACCCGGGCUUGAAAGUUAGUGAAGGAUGCA